CGGACGGGUGAGUAACGCGUGGGUAACCUGCCUCAUACAGGGGAAUAGCAGCUGGAAACGGCUGAUAAAACCGCAUAAGCGCACAGUGCCGCAUGGCACAGUGUGAAAAACUCCGGUGGUAUGAGAUGGACCCGCGUCUGAUUAGCUUGUUGGCGGGGUAACGGCCCACCAAGACUACGAUGGAUAGGGGUUCUGAGAGGAAGGUCCCCCACAUUGGAACUGGGACACGGUCCAA
rnacentral:rRNA from 1 species